GACGAACGCUGGCGGCGUGCCUAAUACAUGCAAGUUGAGCGCUGAAGGUUGGUACUUGUACCAACUGGAUGAGCAGCGAACGGGUGAGUAACGCGUGGGGAAUCUGCCUUUGAGCGGGGGACAACAUUUGGAAACGAAUGCUAAUACCGCAUAAAAACUUUAAACACAAGUUUUAAGUUUGAAAGAUGCAAUUGCAUCACUCAAAGAUGAUCCCGCGUUGUAUUAGCUAGUUGGUGAGGUAAAGGCUCACCAAGGCGAUGAUACAUAGCCGACCUGAGAGGGUGAUCGGCCACAUUGGGACUGAGACACGGCCCAAACUCCUACGGGAGGCAGCAGUAGGGAAUCUUCGGCAAUGGACGAAAGUCUGACCGAGCAACGCCGCGUGAGUGAAGAAGGUUUUCGAAUCGUAAAACUCUGUUGGUAGAGAAGAACGUUGGUGAGAGUGGAAAGCUCAUCAAGUGACGGUAACUACCCAGAAGGGGACGGCUAACUACGUG
rnacentral:rRNA from 1 species